UUGACCAUACUUUGACUGAUGGCUGGUCAUGGGUGGUGAGUGCGGACGUCAGAGUGGGCUCAAACUGUCGGCCGUGGAUAGGCCAACAAUCCCACAAAGUUUCAACUUUUUGUGUUGCUCCUUCCUCAAGAUGCUGCUAAGGG